AACUCAAAUGAAUUGACGGGGGCCCGCACAAGCGGUGGAGCAUGUGGUUUAAUUCGAUGCAACGCGAAGAACCUUACCUACUCUUGACAUCCAGAGAAGCCAGCGGAGACGCAGGUGUGCCUUCGGGAGCUCUGAGACAGGUGCUGCAUGGCUGUCGUCAGCUCGUGUUGUGAAAUGUUGGGUUAAGUCCCGCAACGAGCGCAACCCUUAUCCUUGUUUGCCAGCGAGUAAUGUCGGGAACUCCAGGGAGACUGCCGGUGAUAAACCGGAGGAAGGUGGGGACGACGUCAAGUCAUCAUGGCCCUUACGAGUAGGGCUACACACGUGCUACAAUGGCGCAUACAGAGGGCAGCCAACUUGCGAAAGUGAGCGAAUCCCAAAAAGUGCGUCGUAGUCCGGAUUGGAGUCUGCAACUCGACUCCAUGAAGUCGGAAUCGCUAGUAAUCGUAGAUCAGAAUGCUACGGUGAAUACGUUCCCGGGCCUUGUACACACCGCCCGUCACACCAUGGGAGUGGGCUGCAAAAGAAGUGGGUAGUUUAA
rnacentral:rRNA from 1 species